rnacentral:rRNA from 1 species
AAGGCUUCAGUACGACCCAGUCAGAACCAUAAGUCUCAAAGCCCCGACGAGUAGGGUGGCGUGCCGGUGCGCGUUGAAGGCCAAGACGUGAGUCAGGCUGGAGCCGCCGGUAGUGCAGAUCUUGGUGGUAGUAGCAAGUACUCUGGUGAACCAACCUGGAGCUGUGAGGUCUGGAUUAGGGUUCCAUGUCAACAGUGAUUGAACAUGGGUGAGUCGAACCUAAGCCAACUGUGAAAGCAGUGACAUCCCGACAAAGGGGCACUAUAUAUGUUUGCUGUACUUACACCCCCAAACCAAAGCUUUGGUAUUGCUCUCUCUCUCUCUCUGUCUUACGAUAAGGUGUAUGGCACGGAAAAUGGGCACACACGGUGAUCACUUACGGAGUGUGAGUGUGUGCACCAAUCUGAGGCUGAUGGUUACGGAAUAUAUAUAUAUGGCAGCACACACAAUGUGUGUGUGUGUGUGUGUGCAUUGGUUUGGUUACGCUCAUAAGCGUUGUGGCRUGUGGAUAAAGCAUAAAACUAGGGAGAGAGAGAGAAACGGAGUGGGUGAGCGUGAGUAUUGCUCCUGCAUGAGCACCCUGCGUCUGGUUCUAUGUCUGGCGAAAGGGAAUGGGGACUUUGUUCCUUGACCGGUCCUGGCACCCUCGAUUGGCUUUGCCAAUUAAUGGUCCAUGCAAAUGGAACCAGGCCACAGCCGUCGGCAGUCGCCCGAGGAAGAGUUUUCUUUUCUGCUUAACGCACGAGGUCAUCCCUGGAAACAGUUCGGCUGGCGAAAGGGUGCCCCGCUGCGGCAGAGCGCCACGACUGUCGUGCGCGUCUCGGUGUUCCUGCUGAUCCGUGAAGACGUGGUCGAGGGGAUUGCUCUUGUAUCAACGAAACGCCCGACAAGUUCGGGACGGACCGUACCCUAUAUCCGCAUCUGGUCUCCAAGGUUCUUAGCCUCUGCAGAGUCAGACACAUGUAGGUAAGGGAAGUCGGCAAACUCGAUCCGUAACUUCGGGAAAAGGAUUGGCUCUGAGGGCCGAGCUGGGCCGGGCCUUGCCUGCAAAGCAGUACCUAUAGUGACCGGAGUUUCAGGAGUGCGAGGGGCUCUAGUAGCUGCUUGUGCGUGUGUGCGUUCGCGCGUGCACGCGUGUGGGCACGAACGAGUCCACCGCUCCGCUCCAACCACGAACGGCUGUGACGGCAAGGGCUCUGGGCGGGAGCGAUCGAUCCGUUGGCCCCCAGCGUGUCUGGGUGGCGGCGGUGCUCCGUCUGACCCAUACGGCUCCAGCGGCUAGCGGCUAACUCAGAACUGUCAUGGACCAAGGGAAUCCGACUGUCUAAUUAAAACAAAGCGUCGUGAUGGCCCCUGUUGGGUGUUGACGCGACGUGAUUUC